AAAGAAAACAUUAGAUAUGGUGCAUUAAUAACCUGGUUUGAAACACCCAAGGCAAGGAUGUGGAGAUCUGAGGCCUUUGUAAGGAUAUUAUCACUGACUGAGGUGAAAAACAGGAAGAAAGUGUGGUUGUGGCAAGGAGGAAUCAAUGGCACCACAUUUUACAUUGCUCACCUCAAGCGGCCAAAAUAGCUUUAUUUCGCCAGGCGAACAUUUGGAUGACGCAUUAGAUAAGGCUGUAUUCCCCUUGUCAGCGUCUUCCCAAAGGCGAGGACCACCUGAAGCAGCGUAAGGGACAGAGGACGUCGACAAAACUUUGGCUGUUGUACAUGUAGCGCCGUCUUUUUGUUCGUUACGAGGAAUUGAUGGUACGUCAGGACAAAGGGCUAACAUCUUUUCAAGAGAGAUGUUUUCCUUACCGCUACCAGUGCUCGCUGAUUCAUCAGUGUCCAAAUCGCGUGCCAGACUGUUACCACACUGUUGUUGAAGUUGUAAAUUCGAUGUGGUUUUCAACUGCCGACGGUAGCUUGAAGUUUCCACUGCAAUACUCGCUGUUUUAUUUUCAGUGUCACGGAAAGUUGGAUCAGACAUAUUUGCCUUUUCAUCCGUGUCCGACUGACUUUCCUAUUCGAAAUACUGUACACUGUUAAGUACAUGGAGCGGAAAUAAAAUGUAGUGUAUGGGCAUCACAAAGUGUCCCCCCAGCCCCAAAGGGACCCCAAAAUAUUUUUUUCGCUAAAAUGAAUCGUUGCACUUGCUGGAAUGCAUUGCGGUCAUGUUUUUUUUUUCCAUUUUCCAACAAAUCCUGCCUUUUGUAUUCUUCAAAACAUGCGAGAAACCAAGCAUCCUUUGUUCACGACCGAGUCUUCAGUCUAGUCCUGAUUUGACUUACCAAUCUACUUUGCAUGCUUGUUUACAAAGAGAUAAUGCAUUGUAAAUCAGUUUGUGACGUCAAAUCAGUAAUAGACCCACUUCCCUUCUGACUCGGUCGUGAACAAGAGAGAUUUGAAAUUGGGUGCAACAUUGAGUUUGCCGAUUUGGUCUAUUAAACAUGUUUAGUUGGUGUGAAUGGAAGUUAACGUAAAUCCCCCACCCCAUCCCGGGACAAGCUGGGAAUUAGUGGGGAAAGGAAGGGGUUUUGAAACAAAAUACAGUCCCAGGGGUCAGGGGAUUGGUAACCCGCUGGGUCCACCUCGUUCCCAGUGUCCUCUCUUCCUCUCUCUCGAAAGAACCCGUGUUGCGGCUGGUCACGUGUACAUGUGAACAAUUCAAAUCUGCACCGAGGGUGGGUCCUCAACUUAAUUUUGUCAACAGUGAAAUUCAAGUAUAUCUAGGGGAGGGAAAAAUGUUCACGACCGAGUCAGAAGGGAAGUGAGUCUAUUCCUGAUUUGACGUCACAAACUGUUUUACAUUGCAUUAACUCGUCGUAAACAUGCAUGCGAAGUAGAUUGUGAAGUCAAAUCUGGAAUAGACCAACUUUCCUUUCCAAAUGGCGCUUAAGUAGACUUCAAGUUGCGGAGCGUUCGACUGGCUAUGCAGAGGUUAUUUUGAAAGCAAGACUAGUUUUAUUUUUCCGCGUUUAGAUGGACCAUUUGAUCAAAUUUGACGCUUUUAUGUUAAACAGAGAUCAAGAACAUUUAUCAAGGGGAGUUGAGAAAUCAAGGAGAACUAGAUUCUGGAACAGCCCAAGGACUUCUCAUGUACACAGCCUUGAAGGGGUAUCCUAAUUCUUCAAGUCUGCUAGUUCGCCUUAGACCUCCACUAGAUGUUGAUUUCAUGUGACACCUAAGCAAUCUUCCGGACCCUAUUCGCUACAAAGAUCUUCCAUGAUUUCUCUGGCUGAUAUUCAUAAAAAAUAAGCGAACAUAGAGAUAUACGAUAGAAGAGUUCGAUCACUCAUCAGUUAACUAAGCGAAGCGACAUGGAUCGGAAGUCAUUGCUCGGGCAAAUCAGGAGCGGCAUCCGAAGGAAUCCCAUAAAGAAUAUAAAAACUGGUCUUGCAAAUCUGAUGACAUUGGUUUUCUCGACUCAUUCGAUUUUUUUCUAAGCCUUUCUCUAACACUUUUGACGUCGUUUAUAAGUCCUCGUUUUGAAGGCGAUGCUUUACUAAACUCUUUAUUUUUUAAAUAAGAAUACUGAGGCUGAAAUUUCCGAAACCUUUAAAAAUUGAGAAUGUGCCCAAACAGGAGCCCAUUAAUGGUAAUGAACUCCUGGCCCGAGGCAGAAUUUUUUUUUAGAAUAUAUUUUUGCAUAUUGAGAUCCUUGAAAUACAACCAAAUCUUUCAAGUUGAAAACGUAAGGCAUAUUUUUCUUAUUCUAAGCGGCAAAGCUACCCUGUUGAACAUUAAGGUAGCACGAAGCGUAGCCUUGUGGCCACAAUGUAACGUAAUGAUUCGGCUAGAUACCCAGCAGUACAUUUAAUACCUCUAUACAUUGUAAAACGGAAAGAAUUUUCUCAAUAAUUUUCUCAAUAAUUUUCUCUGUAAUCCAAGAAUAGUCAUAAGAAUAUACAUCGGCUUUUAAAAUAGUAUGCCGCACCCUGCCAAUAGAGGCGUUCUUAUCUUGGCGAGAAAGAAAGGACUGCAGAAAUCGUGUAAAGUCUUUACCGAGUAUGCGUAGGCCGUUGCUUGGAGACGGUUUCAAACCCAGGCUAAGUCUCGAUCACACUCCAGACGCACUAUUGAUUUUCGUACUGAAAGCUCGAUUUUGACCUUCGCCUUGUCAAAAGUGUAAUGCGUGCGCUGCUUAAAGCGGUUUGACCGAAGUGACUUGCCCAUAAUUUUUUUUUCGACUUAAAAGACUUCACAUUAUUUCUGCAGGGCCUCUCUUGCUCGUCUUCUGGUGAAUGUUAGAGAGGCUCUACUCGCAUGGUGAGGAUACCCCAGCCUGGGUCUGAAAAAUGCUGUUU